rnacentral:rRNA from 1 species
GACGAACGCUGGCGGCGUGCUUAACACAUGCAAGUCGAACGGAAAGGCCCUGCUUUUGUGGGUUUCUCGAUUGGCGCAGGGGUGAGUAACACGUGAGUAACCUGCCCUUGUCUUUGGGAUAACUUCAGGAAACUGGGGCUAUUAUCGGAUAGGAGCUCCUGCUGCACGGUGGUCGUUGGAAAGUUUCGGCGGUUGUGGAUAGACUCGCGGCUUCUCAGCUUGUUGGUGGGGUAGGUGCUUACCAAGCGUUCGACGGAUAGGCGGCAUGGGAGGUGAGCCAGGGACAAUGGGACUAAGAGAGGGACCAGACGCGUACGGGAGGCAAUGGUGGGAAGUAUUACGCAGUGAGGGGAAGCGUGAGAAGGAAGCGCCGGGUGCGUGAAGACGGCCUACGGGGUGUAAACCGCUGUCGCAUGAAACGAAGCGUGAGUGACGGUAAUGGGUAAAGAAGCACCGGCUAACUACGUG